GGGGUUGUGGCUCAGCGGUAUGGCACUCGCCUAGCACAUGAGAGGCACUGAGUUCGAUCCUCAGCACCACA
rnacentral:tRNA from 1 species